rnacentral:lncRNA from 1 species
GACUGUAUCCCUCCUAUAGUCGCCGGAAACUGGCUCGGGGGAUUCUUUGUCUCUACGAGUACCCAGAGAUUCUCACGUUUGAGAACCGUCUUCACCUUGAGGCUCCACACAUUGUAGUUCUGUGGACCAAGUAACUUGUUGGUUUCUCCUACCUCGCAGUUUGAGGUCUUUUCUCACCUUGAGGCUCCACACGUUGUAGUUCUGUGGACCAAGUAACUUGUUGGUUUCUCCUACCUCGCAGUUUGAGGUCUUUUCUCUAGCGUCUGCCAUUGCUAGUGAACUAGCUAUCGGUUAUGAGAGCUUUCUAUUUCGUGUCUGCUCUGUACUCUAGUAC